GUCUCUUUGUAGAUUUAUUCAAUAGUAUAGAGAGUCGGACCUGCCCGGUGACUAAAGUGUUAAACGGCCGCGGUACCCUAACCGUGCAAAGGUAGCAUAAUCAUUUGCCUUUUAAUUGGAGGCUGGUAUGAAUGGUUUGACGAGAGCUAAGCUGUCUCUUUUGAAAUAUAUAAAAAUUAACUUUUAGGUGAAGAGGCCUAAAUUUAUUUAAGGGACAAGAAGACCCUGUUGAGCUUUAGUGAAUUUGCAAAUAUAUUUAAUUAAUAAUUAUAGCGUGUAUUGAUUUAUAACUCCGAUUUGCAGGUAAUCUUUAGUUGGGGCGACUGAGGAACAAGAAAAGCUUCCUUUAAAUUUAUUAAUUAUAUAAUUUAUUUAAGUUUAUAGAAAUGCUGUCAUGUUAUUUUGAUCCAAAUUAUUUUGAUUAAAGGAAAAAGUUACCACAGGGAUAACAGCGUAAUCUUUCUGGAGAGAUCUUAUCGAAAGAAGGGUUUGCGACCUCGAUGUUGGACUAAGAUAUCCUAAGGGUGUAGAAGUUCUUAAAGGUUGGUCUGUUCGACCAUUAAAAUCUU
rnacentral:rRNA from 1 species